rnacentral:lncRNA from 1 species
CAUGUUCAUACAAACCAUAAACCAUUGCCAUAAAUAACUUCCCAUUCAAACUUUCAUUCAUGAUUAACAUUUCCAUACAACAUACAAUGAACACUUUUUAUUCAAAGAUUCAAAUUCAAUUCACAAUUCCAUAGUCAAUUCAUCACAUUCCAUACAAAAUUAAAUGCCAUAAUUGUUCCAUUACAUUUCUAUUCCCUAAACUACAACAUAACACAGCCUAUAAUCUAAACCCAAUAAUGCCCAAGUCAACUGCACCACACAAAUGAAACACCUUCCAAAUUCAACAUCCUGCUCAACACAACAUAAGCAUGACCUGCACUUCACUCUGCAUAAUAGCACACAACAAGCCAUUUCCCUAAUUCAGAUCAAGCAUUGCAUUGCAUCUCUUCAAUAGAACUUGGCCCUGCAAAAUUGAACCAUGACCUGCACAUACAUCACAAAUAAAACCUUGUUAACUGCACAUACUCUGCAUAACUCAACCACAACAAACAUUGCCAUUGCUGCAAACUGAAGCAUUGCCCUGCGGAAAACCACACAACCUGCAUAAUUUAAAAACUCCUUUCUCUGCAUUUUGGUGUAACAGCAUACCAAAUUAAGUCCACUAUAAGCUAACAAGGGUGCAAUGCACGAAAUCAAUAAUUAACAACUAACUUUCACUCAUAACCUCUCUAAUAGAAUUAUUGCAUUUUCAACUAUCUAAUGAGUUUCAGUGAAAUUUCAUUUACAUUUCAUAACUGAAAAUCAAAUUCUAUAAAUCAGAAACGCUUUAUUCAUUCAGGGGAGAGGAAUCAGAAAUCAGUUUUCACUCUUCACUGCAUAUUAUAAAAAACUCUCCACUCAUCAAGAUUCCAGCGAGUUUCCUUUUGCCUUUUGCUUCAAUCCUCGAUUCAAUUUCAUCACAAUCCACGGUCCGCUGCGUUGGUCGCUUUAAAAUUGAUUUCGUCAUCCUUGUUUCUGUCUCCACCAAAUUGAGAUGAAGUUGAGGGAUGAGUGUUUAAUUUGAGUUUUAGCAUGAAGUUCGAAGUUGUUUCUUGAAGCUCCUUCGAGAUGUGAGAACGGAUUUUAGAAGUGAGGAUUGAAAGUUGAUAAGGUCUUCUAAAGCAUUCUUGUUGAAUGGCUCGUGUUUGGAAUGUUGAGGUGUUUUGAUACGUUAGACUUGUUUGAACCCCUGGACCUGGCUUGGCUUCUGUUUAGUUUGGGCUUGAAGCCCAAACUUACUUUUCACACCUCCCUCAUCAGCUUCACACCCAUGGUCCAUAAUUAACCUUAAUCCAUUCUUAAUUGUAAUUACUUGUU